UGCCCGUCUCUUCACUUUUAUACCAGUAGUUAUCUAGGUUCUGCAUAGAGCAGGAGGGUUUAAAUGUAUAUGUGACUGUACUCUGCAGGUGCUUGCAUCCCACAUUGUACUGUGUGUAUGUUCAUGUCCGCUGCUUUCAGUCUCAAGGUACCUGUUUUGAUCUCUUUAUGGUUUUCUGAGGUCCGAAUCUGUGAAUAAGUAACUUGCUCUUCUCCCACAGCUUGCUGAAGCCCCUUCAGGUGUCAAGUGCUUGGACUCCAUAUGCUGUUUCCCUGGAGAGACCCCGUGCGCAUCUGUUGGAAGAGUGCUGGACCGAGUCAUAGGACGGUGUAGUCCCAACCAUAUCAGCAGGCUGUGGAGUGCGUCGGAUCCGUUCUAUACCAAUGACAGGAGCAUCUUGACUCUCUCGCCAAUGGACUCAUCAACUUGUUAGAGGGACAGUAGGACUUUGUGGGAUCAAGUUCAC
rnacentral:lncRNA from 1 species